rnacentral:ncRNA from 2 species
UUGUUAUCAAGAAAGGUCGAGGGAUUAGACCCUAUGACGCCUUAGCAACCCUUAAUUCGUUAAGAAGGUGCUAAAUUCUACUGAUUAUUUUACGAAGCAAUCAGAUAGAUAACCA